rnacentral:lncRNA from 1 species
GAAAGUCUAUUCCAUCUAUGGACGGAUACCCUUCAGGUUUGAGACCUAGGGCUAGAUUGAUGUCCUCAGCCUUUAGUCUGAUUUCUAUGUUCCUGACUUUCGCAGUGAUGGUGUUGUAUUCAAAAACACCAUUAUAGUAGAACUCUUUUACUAGCUUAUAAGGGUAGAUCAAUGUGUGUGUACCCAGAGCCUCCUCAAGUCCAGCCUUCUUUAGUAGUGACAGAGUUUUGUGGAAUUUGGGUUCAGCUGUUUUGAACUCAUCAAAACAGAGUCUGUAGCCAGAGAUAACAUUGGAAGCCGCCAUUGAUUUUCUUGCAAGAAGUGUGACUAACUGAGCUUUCUUAAGAUUUAGGGUUUCUGUUUGAGAGAGGAUGAGAG